GCAUUCUACCGAUCAUGUGGCACAACUUCAGAAAGAUCUUCGUGCUGCCCAGGAGAAGAUAUCCAAACUCGAGCAUUCGAGGAAUGCAGUCGUCGAAUACAACCCGAGGGAGAGUUUGCGAAUGACCAAAAGAUUUCGAGGCUCGAUCGGAUGUAAAUCUAUCGAUCUCGUGUCGUCAGACGACAUAGUUAGGCAUAUGUUCGACACGGAGUACACAGCUAACUUUUGGAUAUGCC
rnacentral:lncRNA from 1 species